AAGGAAAACAAUCGAAGUCUGGCUUGAUACUAUUUUAUUUUGAGUGUUCAAUUAUUAAACAUGAUUGAAUACAAUUUUUGGUGGUGAUGCGUCUUUUGGAAACACCCGUACCCAUACCGAACACGAUGGUUAAGCAUAAGCCGGCCGAAGGUACUUAGUUGGAGACGACUAGGGAGAAUAGGUGGCUGCCAAAAUUAAAACAAAUAAUAUAAAAUGAUAAAUUAAUAUAUAGGCUCGUAGCUCAGGUGGUUAGAGCGCACGCCUGAUAAGCGUGAGGUCGGUGGUUCGAGUCCACUCGGGCCUACUGCAACACCUAAAUAAGCUGCAUUAAAAAAUAAUAAUAACCCGUGGGGGUUUAGCUCAGCUGGGAGAGCACCUGCUUUGCACGCAGGGGGUCAAGGGUUCAAAUCCCUUAAUCUCCACUUGGAAUAUAGGAUAAAAGUCUUAUAUCCACAUUGUACUUUGAAAACUGAAUACAAUGAAGAUUAGAAAUAAUCUACAACAAAACCGAAAAAAGAUUGAAUAGAAAACCUAUUUAUUCUUUAACAAAUUCUUUAGUCAAGAAAAGACACAAAGACCAAAAUAUA
rnacentral:misc_RNA from 1 species